GGGUCGGCCUAUUCCAGGGCUUCUAGAGAAAAAUAAUGAGGGGUGUCACGGGGAAUGACUAUAUAGGUCUUGUAGAGGAGAAACAGGCGCUUCUUUUGCGCUAGGUAUCGAAGGGCGCUAUGUUCAAAAAUCUGAAAACUAGAGCUCAAAAUUUGAAAAAAAAUGUCAAAAAAUUAGGGGGGUCGGCCUAUUCUAGGACUUCUAGAGAAAAAUAAUGAGGGGUGUCACGGGGUAUGACUAUAUAGGUCUUGUAGAGGAGAAACAGGCGCUUCUUUUGCACUAGGUAUCGAAGGGCGCUAUGUUCAAAAAUCUGAAACUAGAGCUCAAAGUUCGAAAAAAAAUGUCAAAAAAUGGGGGUAGGGUCGGCCUAUUCCAGGAGUUCUAGAGAAAAAUAAUGAGGGGUGUCACGGGGUAUGACUAUAUAGGUCUUGUAGAAGAGAAACAGGCGUUUCUUUUGCGCUAGGUAUCGAAGGGCGCUAUGUUCAAAAAUCUGAAACUAGAGCUCAAAAUUUGAAAAAAAUGUCAAAAAAUUAGGGGGUCGGCCUAUUCAGGGCUUCUAGAGAAAAAUAAUGAGGGGUGUCACGGGAAUGACUAUAUAGGUCUUGUAGAAGAGAAACAGGCGCUUCUUUUGCGCUAGUAUCGAAGGGCGCUAUGUUCAAAAAUCUGAAACUAGAGCUCAAAAUUCGAAAAAAAUGUCCAAAAAAUGGGGGUAGGGUCGGCCUAUUCCAGGAGUUCUAGAGAAAAAUAAUGAGGGGUGUCACGGGGUAAUGACUAUAUAGGUCUUGUAGAAGAGAAACAGGCGCUUCUUUUGCGCUAGGUAUCGAAGGGCGCUAUGUUCAAAAAUCUGAAACUAGAGCUCAAAAUUCGAAAAAAAUGUCCAAAAAAUGGGGGUAGGGUCGGCCUAUUCCAGGAGUUCUAGAGAAAAAUAAUGAGGGGUGUCACGGGGUAUGACUAUAUAAGGUCUUGUAGAAGAGAAACAGGCGCUUCUUUUGCGCUAGGUAUCGAAGGGCGCUAUGUUCAAAAAUCUGAAACUAGAGCUCAAAAUUCGAAAAAAAUGUCAAAAAAUUAGGGGGGUCGGCCUAUUCCAGGAGUUCUAGAGAAAAAUAAUGAGGGGUGUCACGGGAAUGACUAUAUAGGUCUUGUAGAAGAGAAACAGGCGCUUCUUUUGCGCUAGGUAUCGAAGGGCGCUAUGUUCAAAAAUCUGAAACUAGAGCU
rnacentral:lncRNA from 1 species